rnacentral:misc_RNA from 1 species
UGGGAGUUGGUUCUACCUUAAGGCAAAGUUUAAAACCUUUGACCACGGUAUAGUCAGCGACUGGGGUGAAGUCGUAACAAGGUAGCCGUAGGGGAACCUGCGGCUGGAUUACCUCCUUUCUAAGGAUGAAUAGAAGUAAAAUUUUAUUCUAAAUAAUAUACAUAGGUAAUGUUGACCGUCCUCAUUUCUCUUCUUAAGUAGUGUUUCUAUUCUGUAGGGGCCGGUAGCUCAGUUGGUUAGAGCACACCCUUGAUAAGGGUGGGGUCGAUAGUUCGAGUCUAUCUCGGCCCACCAAAGAUUAACUGGGGGAUUAGCUCAGCUGGGAGAGCGCCUGAUUUGCAUUCAGGAGGUCAGCGGUUCGAUCCCGCUAUCCUCCACCAAGAAACAUUUAGUUAUUUAAUUUGUAAAUAUAAUUAUUAUCAAUAUCUAUAUCCGAACAUUAAUUUUUGAUUAAUGUUCAAACAAAAAUUUGAUCACAACACAGAAUUUUUUUCUGUGCAUAAAUCAAGCGUUUAAGGGCGUGUGGCGGAUGCCUUGGCACUGAAAGCCGAUGAAGGACGUGAUAUACUGCGAUAAGUUUCGGGGAGCUGUAUGUAAGUUUUGAUCCGAAAAUUU